AAACUAAAUAUAAUACUCUGCUCCUGAUUUUAAUACAGCUAAAAGGAGCAGAUCAACUAAAUUUAAAUAGUUAAAUAAACCAGUAUAUUUAUGUAAUAGGACCUUACAGAAGUAAGGAACGACCUCGUUCGGAAUGCAACAAAAGCGUUAGCCACCAAGAUCCGUAAAUCUAGUAAGAUAGUGGCGAAGACUUUCAUUGCAAUUCAACAGAAGCUUUUGCCGCCAAGUAGCCCGGUAAGAUAGCGACGAAAGCUUUUGCUGAACUCAAAUUUGGUAAGUAACGUUUCGUCUCCAUCAGCACCUUGUGAGAAAUCAUAAGUCUUUGGGUUCCGGGGGGAGUAUGGUCGCAAGGCUGAAACUUUAAGAAAAUGACGGAAGGGCACCACCAGGAGUGGAGCCUGCGGCUUAAUUUGACUCAACACGGGAAAACUUACCAGGUCCAGACAUAGUGAGGAUUGACAGAUUGUGAGCUCUUUCUUGAUUCUAUGGGUGGUGGUGCAUGGCCGUUCUUAGUUGGUAGAGUGAUUUGUCCGGUUAAUUCCGUUAACGACCCCUGCCUGCUAAAUAGCACGUGUAGUGUUUAUCACUGCAUUUGCGCUUCUUAGAGGGACGUGCGUUCUAUUAGACGCAGGAAGAUAGGGGCAAUAACAGGUCUGUGAUGCCCUUAGAUGUUCUGGACCGCACGCGUGCUACACUGAUGCAUUCAACGAGUUCUUACCUUGGCCGAGAGGCCUGGGCAAUCUUUUGAACCUGCAUCGUGAUAGGGAUAGAUUAUUGCAAUUAUUAAUCUUGAACGAGGAAUUCCUAGUAAAUGCAGAUCAUCAAUCUGCAUUGAUUACGUCCCUGCCCUUUGUACACACCGCCCGUCGCACCUACCGAUUGAAUGGUCCGGUGAGGCCUCGGGAUUGUGGUUAGUUUCCUUUAUUGGAAGUUAGUCGCAAGAACUUGUCCAAACCUUAUCAUUUAGAGGAAGGUGAAGUCGUAACAAGGUUUCCGUAGGUGAACCUGCGGAAGGAUCAUUA
rnacentral:ncRNA from 1 species